rnacentral:rRNA from 1 species
AGCGAACGCAGGCGGACCUUUAAGUAGGAAGUGAAAGGUUGGAGCUCAACUCUAACACUGCUCCCUAUACUGGAGGUCUUGAGUGCCGGAGAGGAGAACGGAACAAGUUGUGUAGCGGUGAAAUGCGUUGAUAUAACUUGGAACACCAAUGGCGAAAGCAGUUCUCUGGACGGAUACUGACGCUCAGGUUCGAAAGCCAAGGUAGCAAACAGGAUUAGAUACCCUGGUAGUCUUGGCCUUAAACGAUGUUCACUAGGUGUUGGGGGGUAACCCUCGGUGCCGCAGCUAACGCAUUAAGUGAACCGCCUGGGGACUACGGCCGCAAGGUUGAAACUCAAAGGAAUUGGCGGGGGACCGCACAAGCGGUGGAGCAUGUGGCUUAAUUCGAUACAACGCGAAGAACCUUACCAGGGCUUGACAUGUAUCUGCAAGCUGCCGAAAAGCAGUCGCUUUCGAAGGUGAUACACAGGUGGUGCAUGGCUGUCGUCAGCUCGUGUUGUGAAAUGUUGGGUUAAGUCCCGCAACGAGCGCAACCCUCAUGUUAUGUUGCCAGCGAGUAAUGUCGGGAACUCAUAACAAACUGCCUCUGUAAAGAGGAGGAAGGCGGGGAUGACGUCAAGUCAUCAUGCCCCUUACGCCCUGGGCUGCACACAUGCUACAAUGGCUGGCACAAAGGGUUGCUAACCUGCGAAGGUAUGCUAAUCUCAAAAAACCAGUCUCAGUUCGGAUCGGGGUCUGCAACUCGACUCCGUGAAGUUGGAAUCG